UCUCCUGUCCUUCCGACUCUCCUCUCCUCUCCCACUCCCCUCUCCUCUUCUCUCCCCCUCUCGCCCCUCCUCUCCUCUCCUCUCAUCCCACCUUCUCCCCCUCUCCUCUUCUCCCCCUCUCCUUUCCUCCCCCUCUACACUUCUCCCCUCUCCUGUCCUCCCCUCCCCUCUCCUCUCCUCUUCUCCCCUUCUGCCACUCUCCCCUCUCCCCUCCCCUCUCCUGUCCUUCCGACUCUCCUCUCCCACUCCCCUCUCCUCUUCUCUCCCCCUUCUCUCCCUCUCUUCUCUCCCUUUCCUCAUCUCCCCCUCUCAUCUUCUUCUUCCCCUCCCCUCCCACCUCUCCUCUUCUCCCCCUCUGCUCUUCUCCCCAUGUCCUCUUCUCCCCCCUCUCAUCUCCCCCUUCUUCUCUCACUCUCUUCUCCUCUUCUCCCCUCGACUCUGCUCCCCCUUCCUCUCCUCUUCUCCCCCUCUCUUCUCCUCCUCCUUCCUCUCCUCUUCUCUAGUCCUCCUCUCGUCUUCUCCCCCUCGCUUAUCCUCUUCUGCCCCUCUCCUCUUCCCUUCUCCCCAUCUCCUCUUCCCUCCCAGUCUCUCUUCUCCCCUCUCUUCUCAUCUUCUCCCCCACUCCUAUUCUCCCACCUUCUCCCCCCUUACUUCUCCUCUUCUCCCCGUCUCGUCUUCUCCCCCUCUCUUCUCCUCUUCUGCCCCUCUCGUCUUCUCCCAGUCUCUUCUUCUUCCUCUCUUCUCCCCCUCUCUUCUCCCCUUCUCCCACCUUCUACCUCUCUCUUCUCGUCUUCUUCCCCUCUCUUUUUCUCUUGUCCCCCUCUCGUCUUCUCCCUCUCUCCUCUCCUCAUCUCCCCCUCUCGUCUUCUCCCCCUCUCCUCUCCUCUCCUCUCCAUCCCCCUCUACACUUCUCCCCUCUCCUCUUCUCCCCCUCUGCUCUUCUCCCCUCUUCUCUUCUCCCCCUCUCCUCUCAUCUUCUGCCCCUCCAUUUUACUUUUCUCCACCUCUACUCUUCUCUUCUCCCCCCUUUCCCCCCCUCCUCUCCUCUCCUCUCCUCUCCUCACUUCCCUUCUCCUCUCCUCUCCCUUCCCCUCUCCCUUUCUUCCUCUCUCUUCUCCUCUUCUCUUCUCCCUCUCCUCUCCUCUCCUCUCCCACAUUCUGCCCCUCUCCUCUUCUCCCCCUCUACUCUUCUCUCCCUCUCCUUUCCUCCCCCUCUCCUUUUCUCCCCUCUCCACUUCUCUCCUCUCCUCUUCUCCCCCUCUGCUUUUCUCCCCCUCUACUCUUCUCUUCUCCCCCCUUUUCCCCCCUCCUCUCCUCUCCUCUCCUCACUUCUCUUCUCCUCUCCUCUCCCUUCCCCUCUCCUCUUCUUCCUCUCUCUUCUCCCCCUCUCUUCUCCCCCUCUCUUCUCCUCUUCUCUUCUCCUCUUCUCUUCUCCCUCUCCUCUCCUCUCCUCUCCCACAUUCUGCCCCUCUCCUCUUCUCCCCCUCUACUCUUCUCACCCUCUCCUUUCCUCCCCAUCUCCUCUUCUCCCCUCCUCUCCUCUUCUCCCCCUCUGCUUUUCUCCCCCUCUACUCUUCUCUUCUCCCCCCUUUUACCCCCUCCUAUCCUCUCCUCUCCUCACUUCUCUUCUCCUCUCCUCUCCCUUCCCCUCUCCUCUUCUUCCUAUCUCUUCUCCCCCUCUCUUCUCCCCCUCUCUUCUCCUCUUCUCUUCUCCCUCUCCUCUCCUCUCCUCUUUCACAUUCUGCCCCUCUCCUCUUUUCCCCCUCUACUCUUCUCCCCCUCUACUCUUCUCCCCCUCCCCUUUCCUCCCCUCUCCUCUUCUCCCCCUCUCCUCUUCUCCCCCUUUACUCUUCUGCCCCUCUACUCUUCUGCCCCUCUCCUCUUCUGCCCCUCUCCACUUCUCUCCCUUUAAACUUCUCACCCUCUCCUGUUCUCCACCUCUCUUCUCCCUCCUCUCCUCUUCUCCCCUUCUCCUCUUUCGACACUCUAUUCUCUCUCUCCUCCCCCUUUCUUCUCCUCUCCUCCCCUUUCUUCUCCUCUUCUCCCCCUCUCCUUCUCUUCUCCCCCUCUCCUCUUCUACACCUCUCCCCUCUCCUCUCAUCUUCUCCAACCCUCUCCUCUUCUCCCCCUCCCUCCUCCCCCCUCUCCUCUCCCCCUCUCUUCUCCCCCUCUCAUCUCCUCCUCUCCUCUUCUCCCCCUCUCCUCUUCUCCCCCUCCCCAUUGUCAUGACGUUGGCCUCUUUUGGUACAGGGAGGACUGUUGACCCCCUCCCUUUUGCACCACCACCCAACCUACCUUCCCCCCAACCCAGGCCCUGUGUGAAAGGGUUGUAAAAACCCUAAGAGGAGAAUCUCCUACCACAUGGCCCAUAGAGAGACAAAGGAAAUUCUUCCAACUCAUAGAAUUGGAGAACCGAGCGACAUGUGUGUUCGGGAGAAGCUCACACUCUCCUACACACACCAGCUGACUAAGAGGGCCCUAGUGGAGCCAGCUGGCUGAGAGG
rnacentral:lncRNA from 1 species